rnacentral:rRNA from 1 species
CAGCCGCCGCGGGAAUACGUAGGUGGCAAGCGUUGUCCGGAAUUAUUGGGCGUAAAGGGCUCGCAGGCGGUUUCUUAAGUCUGAUGUGAAAGCCCCCGGCUCAACCGGGGAGGGUCAUUGGAAACUGGGAAACUUGAAUGCAGAAGAGGAGAGUGGAAUUCCACGUGUAGCGGUGAAAUGCGUAGAGAUGUGGAGGAACACCAGUGGCGAAGGCGACUCUCUGGUUUGUAACUGACGCUGAGGAGCGAAAGCGUGGGGAGCGAACAGGAUUAGAUACCCCCGUAGUCCCUGUCUCUUAUAC